AGCCUUUGUCUGUGUUUCGGAAUUCUAUGUUUUUUUGGAUUUAUCGCCUGUAUUUGGAUUACGUUUCCCUGCCUAGCCCAGUCUGGAUUGUUCACCCGAUCGCCUGACCUACUGCUGUCUUCCGUGUUUCGUCUUCUGCCUGAUCCUCGUAUUCUAGUCCUGUUCGUCCGCGCUUGCCUCCAACAAGGUAUCGUAACAGAUUACUUCGCCUACUAUGGAGGCAGCGGACGCCCCAGAAUGGCAACGACACAUCCUGGAGCAGAAUCGAGCGAUAGCUUUACAGCGGGACCAGAUAUUGCGUUUAACUGAGCAAGUGUCAUGCCUGUGCCCUUCCACACUUCUGACCACGAUACCACCACCUCCGCCCACGUACAUUCCGCCUCUAGCAUCAGGGUAUGCUCAACCAGCGCCGGCUGCGCACAUUCCAGCCACGGCGCCUGCGCACUUUCCGCCUCUACCUACGCCAGAUACAUACCCCAGAUAUGCUGGAGAGCCGGAACGAUGCAAGUGUUUUCUGCUACAGUGCUAACUGUUUUUUGAGAGCUACCCUGACAUGCUGGAAGUCCAUAAAGUCACGCACUUCAUGGAGCUCCUCACCGGACAUUCCCUGGCCUGGGCUACGGCGGAGUAGGAGCGAGGGGGCGGUACCAGACCCUCGCUAGCGGACUUCCUCUCCCGCUUCCAGUGUGCCUUUGAUCAUUCCCCUGAUGGUUGGGAGACCGGCCAGGAGCUCAUGAAGAUCACACAAGGCUCUCGUGACGCGGUGGAGUAUGCCUUGGAGCUCUGCACCAUCACUGCAUGGAGCGGGUGGAAUGAACCGGCUCUCAAGACCACGUUCAGUCAGGGGCUGAAUCCCGAGUUGGUGAGAGAACUUGGCAUGUCGGGGCGAACAGCUCACCCUCGAUGCCCUCAUAGACCUUGCAAUACGGCUGGACCGUCUGCGCCGAACCAACCGCCCCAUGCUGUGGGGUCCCCUGCCACCAGAGCCAGCACCCCCAGCCGAGCCCAUGCAGCUUGGCCAGACCUGGAUCCGCGAGGAGGAGAGGGAGAGGCGAUGUCGUGAGUCUCGCUGCUUUUAUUGCGGCGAGGGCACCCACCUCGUCUGUCAGUGCCCCUAGAAGACGCUACGACCAGCCGAGGGGAGUGCGGACCGCCAACCUCGUCGCCAAAUGGUGAGUUCAAUCCGAACACACACUCCACAUAUAUUCGUGUUACCCGUUAAAAUAGAGCAUUCAGGCCAGUCUUUUGUGCUUUCAGCGCUAUUCGACUCAGGAGCGGCCGGGAACUUCAUAGAUCAGAAGAACAUUGGCCUCCCCGUAUGUCCCCUGCUCCAGCCACGUCAAAUCCAGUCCAUAGACAGGUCCAUGGGAGGGUCAUAUCCCAAUGCACACUGCCACUAAGACUGCUAAGUUAGUGCCCUCCACCACAAAACCAUCAUCCUGUACAACACGGUCUCCGCCCGGCACCCCGUCAUUCUAGGCCUAUCUUGGCUGGAGCUUCACAACCCCCAGGUCUCUUGGACAGACAAGUGGGUUACCCAAUGGUCGCCGUACUGCCUGAGCAACUGCCUAAAUGGCCCCACAGCCACGACAGUGGAGAACCCCAAGUCUCGUAUUCUAGUCACAGUCCCUCCUGAAUAUCAUGACCUCAGCAAGGUGUUCAGCAAAGAGAAAGCAAGCGGCUUACCACCACACCGACCCUACGACUGUGCCAUUGACCUCCUUCCCAGAGCCAGUCCUCCUCGGGGUCAUGUAUACCCUCUCUCCCAAGCUGAAAACCGAGCCAUGGAGAAAUACAUUCAGGAGGCCCUCCAACAAGGAUACAUUAAACCCUCCAUGUCCCCCGCAUCCACAGGGUUCUUCUUUGUGGAAAAGAAAGGAGGGGGCCUACGACUGUGUAUCGACUACCGGGGCCUAAACCAAGUGACAGUCAAGUACCGGUAUCCCCUGCCACUAGUUCCGGCAGCCCUUGAACAGCUAAGAUCCGCGACCAUCCAGCUACCAGCCGCCUUUAUUUCCCUGGAACGCAAACCCCACCGACUCUCCAGCGGUGGAUGAAUGGUUCCACCAGAGUGAGCAGGUCUGGGACCGCGCACAUCAACAUCUGGUGCAGGUCUCCUGCACUGCCAAACAAAAGGCAGACUGUCACCAGAGGGAUCAUCCCAACUACCAACCCGGGGACAGGGUGUAGCUUUCCACAAGAGACCUAAAACAGCCACUCCCAGGCAGGAAACUUACCCCCAGGUAUAUCGGCCCCUUUCGAAUCCAGAAACAAAUUAACAAGAUCUGCCUGGACUUGCCCAAGCACAGCUGCAUCGCCCGUCAUUCCAUGUCUCUCUCCUUAAGCCAGUGAUACUGGGUCCCUUGGCCACAGCGGUGCCAGGUGACUCCCCACUGGAACUGCUAGAGAUUGAAGGCCACCCAGCCUACCAUGUCCGCAACAUCCUAAACUCCAGACGCAGGAGAGGUAAACUCGAGUAUCUGGUGGACUGGGAGAGGUAUGGCCCAGACGAGCAGUGCUGGAUCCCAUCCCAGGACAUUCUGGACCCAAACCUGCACAGGGACUUCCAUGCCGCUCACCCAGCUAAACCGAGACCGCGGAGGAGAGGGAGGCCUCGGAAGGAUUCGGCUCCAGGAGUGAGCCCUUUGGGGGGGCUCUGUCACGUCACAGCAAACUCCCAACUACAGUUCCCAGAAUGCAGUGCCAACUACAAACAUGGCUGACAAGAACUACACUUCCCGGCCAUGCACCCGCUCACGUUCGCCGGAGUACUGAGUGCUAACACCUGUGCUUCAUCAUAGAAUUCUACGUUUUUUUGGAUUUAUCGCCUGUAUUUGGAUUACGUUUCCCUCCUAGCCUAGUCUGGAUUGUUCACCCGAUCGCCUGACCUACUACUGUCUUCCGUGUUUCGUCUUCCACCUGAUCCUCGCACUCUAACAAGGUACCUCCAACAAGGGACAGUGACAGGGGGAAAGACAGAAAAAAACAAACAAAGAAGAAGAAGAAGGAGAGACCGUAAGACAGAGAGACAGCCGGAGGAAUGAUGAGGAGUAUAUCACUGACACAACUGUACAGAUCUGUUGCCAGGACCUGGCCCUCCAGAAAUCUGUGACAGCCUGAUGAUUGGAUGAACAGGCAGCUUAGCAGAUGCACAUGAACUAUUCCACAACCUUCAGGUAACAGACGUUCAAUCUAAUUACACAUGCUUAUUUAAAUAUUGAGACAGAGACCUGGGGCACAAUUUAUUUAAAAAAAAAAUGGGACAUGGGAGCAAACUGUCUAUAGGCAUACUUUUAUGUACACUCAUUUGUAAUGCAAAGUGUUCACAGGGUCCAGCACUACACGAGUGAUGGCACCCCAUCCCCAGUGCAUGCAG